GUGUUAAUUCGUAGGUGAGACACUGGGAGGAAUGUAUUAUCCAUCAAUUUAUUAGUUUUCCUUUUUCCUCAGCACAGCUGAAGGAGGAAUUCAAUGAAGGCCACCUGGAAGCAGUGAGGCCAGAGAGCUCAGCUGAUGCAGGAGUGAGCAGACUGGCAGCUCUGGUGAUGAAAGAAGUGAAGCACUCGUGUGGUCUCUAUUCUCUGAAGGCACCUGAGGGGAGCCCUGUCCCAGCAGAGCCUGCAGCACUGCUUGGGGAAGGCUACAGGGUAGCAGGUUCUACUCCAAUGGUGACCUUAUUCUCCUGACUUCCCUUUUGCACAGUGAGAUACUUCCCAGCUGAUGUUGCAGUGAGAAGCCAUCGUUGUGGGCCCAUUCUACAGAUGGGAGUGUCCUUACCCUAGUUUCUAUAAACUGUGCGACAGAAACUGUGAGGUUUCUGUACUAAAAUUAAGCACAGGCAUGCAGAGAAUUGGAGAGAACAGAAGCAAGUGUGUGAUCUCAUUUGUAACUGUGUGUGUUCUCUGCAUUUGUAUUUGAAAUGCAUUCAUUUUUCUGUAUCUGCUUGGGAGACCUGUUUCAAAAAAGAAAAGGAAGAGCAGAAGCAUUUUACUCCAGGAUUGUGAUGGUUGCUUUUGGCAAGAGGUGGGAUCAGUUUCUAAUUUGACAGGGUCACUCCCUGUUGUGUCUUACAGCAUCUUGUUCAAGCAUCUGUCAGUGUUUUGGGUAUUUAUGGGCACAGAUCUUUAAUGGCAGUAAAAUGUGUGUAGUAUCAGCAAAAUAAUGGUCUCUUGGAGACACCUUAGAUGGUUAAUUGAGGGGCCUUCCAAUGCCUGCCUGAAGGAAAUGUUUAAAGGCAUGGAGGCAGUGUCAUCCUGCAGCGUGAGAGGCUUUGAAAAAUAUGCAUGUGCUUGUCUUAUGUAGGUGACAAAUGGAUUUCAUGGGUGUAUGCUCAGGGUUUAUGUCCCAAAAUGUUUUCUGGAGCUGCAAAAAGGACUGAAGGAAGUCUUGGGGAAUCUGGGAUAAAGCUGUGAAGAAGACUGGCUUUUAGUAGGGCUCUGUAGAUUGGGAAUUAUGUAGAUUUCUCCAUGUAGCACCAUGAGACCUUUGUAUUUUAGAGCUAUUUUAUUAUAUGGAGUCUUAAAUUGCAGUGAAUCAUACCUCAAAAAUAGCAGGAAAACUUUUUUUUUUUAUAUGCGUUCUAAUUCUUUUUUUCUUCUAAUUUACUAGUGGCUGAAGUCUGCAAUAACGUAGUUGCAAGUAUGAUGGUCAUCACCUGCUAGCUGUGGGCAGCAUGUGCUACACAUCAGGUCUUCCCUGAGUCACUGGUGAGGGCUAAUUGUGCACACACACAGGCUGUUCCAGCUUGUGCUAAGGUUCACAUUUAAGAAUUUUGUAAUAAUACUUGGAUUUGCCUGGCUAUCUGUGCAGGCAAUGAGGAACAGUUAUAACUGCUCUUAAAUUAGGAGCAUGUGGUAGAGAUCAGACCAUGGCCUGUGAAGAUCCAUCUUCUCAUCUGUGCUUGUUGCCAGUGGGCACCUAUUUCAGUAGGCGUAUCUCAGUGUAGCUCUGAGCCUUUUUCAGAAAUGCUGGUUUCCAGCAAUUCCCAUUCCUGCUCUGAACUUCAACCUCAUUCUGUGCUGAGACUGAUAACUGUACUCUCAGUGGUGACUAAUGAGUUGAGAGGUGAUUAUAGGAUUAGGCAGUAUCCCCAAGCUGUGGGAAAUCCUUUCUAAUACAGUGGCACACUGAAGUGUGACACUUACUUGAUAGGAUAAGGUAUAGCUCUUUGCUGUAUGACUGGAUUUGUUUGCUCGUUU